GAUGUACCACAAUACAUAAAGAUGUAAUCAGUAAAUCCAUAGUUUUCUCCAUGUCAUUAUGGAUGUCCAGUCUUCCAACAUUAUUUGAUCAAAAUAUAGAGGCGGAGACAGUUUUAGGAGUGAGCGAUGACUGUGAAGAAUCUAUAUAGGUAGUUCUAUGGAUGUGUAGAGAAUGGUGGUUGCAGGGCAGAACUCAUUCUUUUAUGCAGUACCUCACCAUUUUUAUUAUAAAUUGUCUUUUGGCCCGCUUAAUGUAGCUGGAACAUGAAAUAUUGGAAUUGUAAUGGCUGACCAGAAUUACAAACACAUUUUUGCAGGAGUUUUUCAGCUAUCAUUGUUUUUCAGUGCUCAGAAUAAUUUGGCUUAGCAUAACAUUACUUCGGAAACACGGAUGCCCAAUCUACCAACAGGAUUUGAUCGAAAUGUAGGUGGAGACCUUUCCAUGGUGUGACAUUAUUAUAAAUCUUGAAUUUAACAGGAAAUAUUUCAUUAAUAC